UACAGAGGGUGCGAGCGUUGUUCGGAAUUACUGGGCGUAAAGCGCGUGUAGGCGGCGUUAUAAGUCGGAAUGUGAAAUCCCUUGGCUUAACCAAGGAAGUGCAUUCGAUACUGUGGCGCUUGAGUACCGGAGGGAUGGCGGAAUUCCUGGUGUAGAGGUGAAAUUCGUAGAUAUCAGGAGGAACACCUGUGGCGAAGGCGGACCUCUGGACGGUGACUGACGCUGAGA
rnacentral:rRNA from 1 species